UGAAAUGUUACUCUUGCUUGCCCAACUCAAGUCAACCAUAGCUAGCUAAAAUGGUGCUCCACUCAGCUAUAGCUGCCUAACGAGCUCAGCUCCACGUCUCGAUCUACCUCUCUAUAUUUAAUUUGCCUCCAAAAUCCAUCUAUAUAUAUCGCAUUCGAGCUAAACAACUCUUCAUCCAAACAAGCAAAGGCAAAUACUAAAGCUAGCUACGCCUACGAGUAGAAGAAACCAACAAUGGCGCCGCUCGCACCCGGGAGGCCAGCAGCCUGCCUCCUGGCCCUUCUCUCCGUCGUCACGGCGCUAUCCCUGGCGGCGCCGGGCUUGGCGGCGGGGAAGACCGGCCAGGUGACGGUGUUCUGGGGCCGGAACAAGGCCGAGGGGUCCCUGCGCGAGGCCUGCGACUCCGGCAUGUACACCAUGGUCACCAUGUCUUUCCUCGACGUCUUUGGCGCCAAAGGAAAGUACCACCUCGACCUCUCCGGCCACGACCUCUCCGCCGUCGGCGCCGACAUCAAGCACUGCCAGUCCAAGGGCGUCCCCGUCUCCCUCUCCGUUGGCGGCUACGGCACCGGCUACUCGCUCCCGUCCAACCGCUCCGCGCUCGACCUCUUCGACCACCUCUGGAACUCCUACUUGGGCGGGUCCAACCCUGGCGUGCCCCGCCCCUUUGGCGACGCGUGGCUCGACGGCAUCGACCUCUUCCUGGAGCACGGCACGCCGGCGGACCGCUACGACGUGCUGGCGCUGGAGCUGGCGAAGCACAACAUCCGCGGCGGCCCGGGGAAGCCGCUGCACCUGACGGCGACGGUCCGGUGCGGGUACCCGCCGGCGGCGCACGUGGGGCGGGCGCUGGCGACGGGGAUCUUGGAGCGCGUGCACGUGAGGAUCUACGAGGAGAGCGACAAGGCGUGCAACCAGUACGGGGCGUGGGAGGAGGCGUGGGACAGGUGGACGGCGGCGUACCCGGCCACCCGGUUCUUCAUCGGGCUCACCGCCGACGAGAAGUCGUACCAGUGGAUACACCCCAAGAACGUCUACUACGGCAUCACGCCGGUGGUGCAGAAGAAGGACAACUACGGCGGGGUCAUGCUCUGGGACCGAUACUUCGACAAGCAGAGCGACUACAGUAGCUACAUCAAGUACUACGCCUGAUCGGAGUUAUACUUUCACAAGCCACGCUGUUGCAUGCAUCACCGUCGAUUUGAUUUCGAUGUGUUGUUGCAAACUUGCAAGCGAGAAUAAAGUGAGGCUUGUACUACUUGGGUAAAUAAAUAAUUGACCAGCUGGUCGUACGUA
rnacentral:lncRNA from 1 species